ensembl:lncRNA
AUUACUUAAUCCAAUUAUUUGAUAACUUUAGUUACCGGCAGAUACCGAUACAAUUAGCAAUAGAAUUAUAAGCAAACCAAUUAUAUAUUAUAGAUGAUACAACCAUUUGAUUGAUUCACAAGCUAGAAUCUAGAAUCAGCUCCAGCUGUACCAGCUGAAACAUUACAGUGUAGCGGCUAUUAAUGCAUCCUAUAAUAUCCAAUUAUAUCCAAUUAUAAAGCUUCUUUUGGCACGUUAAUUAAAUUAUAUUUAAUCUGCCAUUAUUACUUUAAUCAAAUAAAAAUGAAUGACUUUCACACUGUUUUACUGGGACUUUUACUUCUCCCACCUCCGUGCUCAACACAUGCAAAUAUAAAAAGAGUUUUCCCGUAGUAUGAAACCAACGACUUUAACAGAGAAGGCUGGCGGCUCAGCUAAGCCCUCGUCGACCACGACCGUGGGGGAUAUCACGAGCAUCUGAUAGAGAAACCUAGAACGUGGCUAUUCACAUAACCGAGGCAGAUCCAUAGAGAGCCCGGCGGUGCAAAUAGGAUUUGAUGUGCUGGGAAGAGGUGCGACUAGGGUCCAAAAGAAUGCGCCAUUUCAUAAAUAGCCUUUGUUAGAUGCGAUGCGUACGAUGGUAAUGGGGAAAGGAGCUGGUGAGAGAACCUUGUCUGGCUCUUCCCAUCUCUGCACAUUAAUCUGAAGUGACACAUCACAAACGACGUCUCCUAUCUUUGAAAAGGCCGCUAUCCUUCCAGCGCUGAUGCCGCGAUGAUAGCAGAGAUUGUUUAUUAACUUUUAAAAAUGGGCACUACCAGCAUCAGCAUUUUGGAUCAAUCUGUAGGAACAAUCAAUAACAGCUGACAGCUAAAAACAGACUGUGUUUGGAGUAACUGGUCACUCUUAAGACACCCACCUCUCUUUUAUCGGAGCCCAUCAUCUACGGAAGUUACUUUAUUAAAAGCAGCAUUUUUGUUUGUGGGAGUUUCUGCUGGUGAAAGAAAGGAUUGACAUUCAAACUAACAACAUGGUAACGAUAAGUUGUGGAAUAUUUCCACUUUUCCUCUGUCCUCAUUUCUGUCUCCGGUUCUCACAAGACAAACUCGAGAUAACUGCUUAAUCGAAAAAAACAACGUAGCGGACAAUCAAGAGCACAAUCGGUCUCUUUUCUCUGGUGGAUGAAUAUCUUCACCAAGAGUCUGCGUAAAUUGAUACUCCACAACAGACGGGAGGUUUUCACAUCCGUUCGUUAGUUGUUGUUGUUUAUUAUUAGAAAGCCUACCGGAGUUUCCCUCUGCACCUUUUCCCCUUGUUAUUGACGAGGAUGAAGCGGCCUGAGAUCCAUCACCAUACAAAGGCGUGCGCUACGUAGGCGUGCGCUACGAAGGCCUGCGCUACGUAGGCGUGCGCUACGAAGGCCUGCGCUACGGUGGCGUGCGCUACGAAGGCGUGCGCUACGAAGGCGUGCGCUACGAAGGCGUGCGCUACGAUGGCGUGCGCUACGAAGGCCUGUGCGCUACGAAGGCGUGCGCUACAUAGGCAUGUGCUACGAAGGCGUGUGCUACGAAGGCGUGUGCUACGUAGGCGUGGCAUUUGGCCGACUUGCUGCCGUGUCCGGAUACAUUUUAAAACCGGUUUAAAAAAGAAAACCAGUCGAGUGCACGUAGACCGGUCCCAUUAUUGACCCAACCCGCCCGAGCCCUCCCAUCCCACGGUCCAGAUGUUCCAUGUAGCUGCUGAAAUAUUCACACCUGGUCGGCUCUUCCACAGAUGUGGCCCCGUCAGUCCAGAUAAAAGGGAACACGGGCAGUUAAUCGACACGCUGCUGCGAUGCAGGACUUCUUACACAAGCACCAUCUUCAUGGGUCUAACGGUUGUGGAGAUUGUUAGAAACGUUGUUGUACUGUUCAGCAGAUUGUGCGGUGGGGGUGGGGG